rnacentral:Y_RNA from 1 species
GGCUGGUCCAAUUAGUUAUAAAUACAACAGGUGUUUAUAACUGAUUGAUCACAGUAAGUGAUAGAUUUCUUUGUCCCCCUCCACUCCUACUGCUUCACUCAACUUGCCUAAG